rnacentral:rRNA from 1 species
GACGAACGCUGGCGGCAUGCCUAAUACAUGCAAGUCGAACGCUGAAGCACUCUGCUUGCAGAGUGCGGAUGAGUGGCGAACGGGUGAGUAACACGUGGGAAAUCUGCCUAUAAGAGGGGGAUAACAUUCGGAAACGGAUGCUAAUACCGCAUAUAUUCUUGGACCGCCUGGUCCUUGAAAGAAAGACGGCUUUGCUGUCGCUUAUAGAUGAUCCCGCGGCGUAUUAGUUAGUUGGUGGGGUAAAGGCCUACCAAGACAAUGAUACGUAGCCGACCUGAGAGGGUGAUCGGCCACACUGGGACUGAGACACGGCCCAGACUCCUACGGGAGGCAGCAGUAGGGAAUCUUCCACAAUGGGCGAAAGCCUGAUGGAGCAAUGCCGCGUGAAUGAAGAAGGUCUUCGGAUCGUAAAGUUCUGUUAUUAGAGAAGAACAAGUCAAGGAGUAACUGUCUUGAAUUUGACGGUACCUAACCAGAAAGUCACGGCUAACUACGUG